UAGUUGAUCAGUGGCUCAGGACGAACGCUGGCGGCGUGCUUAACACAUGCAAGUCGAACGGUAAGGCCCUUCGGGGUACACGAGUGGCGAACGGGUGAGUAACACGUGGGUGAUCUGCCCUGCACUUCGGGAUAAGCCUGGGAAACUGGGUCUAAUACCGGAUAGGACCAUGGACUUCACGGUUUGUGGUGGAAAGCUUUGCGGUGUGGGAUGGGCCCGCGGCCUAUCAGCUUGUUGGUGGGGUAAUGGCCUACCAAGGCGACGACGGGUAGCCGGCCUGAGAGGGUGUCCGGCCACACUGGGACUGAGAUACGGCCCAGACUCCUACGGGAGGCAGCAGUGGGGAAUAUUGCACAAUGGGCGCAAGCCUGAUGCAGCGACGCCGCGUGAGGGAUGACGGCCUUCGGGUUGUAAACCUCUUUCAAUAGGGACGAAGCGCAAGUGACGGUACCUAUAGAAGAAGCACCGGCCAACUACGUG
rnacentral:rRNA from 1 species